rnacentral:lncRNA from 1 species
GCAAGACAGACUUGAAGAGAGUAAAGCUGAAUGAUAUUUUUGAUUCUUCGAAGGGUUUAAGAUUGCCAGCAAACCAUGAGAAGCUAGGAGAAAGGAAUGGAACCGCUUCUCCUUCACAUUCCUCAGAAGGAACCAACCCUGCAGACACCUUGAUCUUGGACUUCAAGCCUCCAGAACUACCAGGAGCAUCUCAGCAUAAGGACUCUCUCAUUUUCCUUUAUGUUUCUUCAUUUCUUGUACAAAUUCUGGCAUAUGAAAAGUGCUCAAUAAACACUCAUUAAAUAAAUGAAUGGAGAAUGUGCAGAAUUUAAUGAGAAUUUAAUAUUUGUAAGCUUUCUG